GACGAACGCUGGCGGCGUGCUUAACACAUGCAAGUCGAACGGAAAGGCCCUGCUUUUGUGGGGUGCUCGAGUGGCGAACGGGUGAGUAACACGUGAGUAACCUGCCCUUGACUUUGGGAUAACUUCAGGAAACUGGGGCUCAUACCGGAUAGGAGCUCCUGCUGCAUGGUGGGGGUUGGAAAGUUUCGGCGGUUGGGGAUGGACUCGCGGCUUAUCAGCUUGUUGGUGGGGUAGUGGCUUACCAAGGCUUUGACGGGUAGCCGGCCUGAGAGGGUGACCGGCCACAUUGGGACUGAGAUACGGCGCAGACUCCUACGGGAGGCAGCAGUGGGGAAUAUUGCACAAUGGGCGGAAGCCUGAUGCAGCAACGCCGCGUGCGGGAUGACGGCCUUCGGGUUGUAAACCGCUUUCGCCUGUGACGAAGCGUGAGUGACGGUAAUGGGUAAAGAAGCACCGGCUAACUACGUG
rnacentral:rRNA from 1 species